rnacentral:rRNA from 1 species
UACGAAGGGGGCUAGCGUUGCUCGGAAUUACUGGGCGUAAAGGGCGCGUAGGCGGUGCGGCAAGUCACCUGUGAAACCUCUGGGCUUAACCCAGAGCCUGCAGGCGAAACUGCCGUGCUGGAGUGUGGGAGAGGUGCGUGGAAUUCCCGGUGUAGUGGUGGAAUGCGUAGAUAUCGGGAGGAACACCAGUGGCGAAGGCGGUUACCUGGAGCUUUGCUGACGCUGAUGCGCGAAAGCGUGGGGAGCGAUCCGG